rfam:Pseudomonas putida strain TASWS0946 Contig186, whole genome shotgun sequence.
GGGCCUAUAGCUCAGUUGGUUAGAGCAGAGGACUCAUAAUCCUUUGGUCCACGGUUCAAGUCCGUGUGGGCCCA